GCCCUUGUAGCUCAGUGGAUUGAGAGCGCCUGGCUUCUAGCGUCUGCUACGCACGAUACCAGGCGGUCGAAGGUUCGAACCCUUCCUGGGGCG